AUGAAAUCUCCCUCUGGAUCUCUGUAUCCAACCACUGCACAUCACCUAUUGAGCAUUUCCCUUAAAAACAGCCAUUUUUAUGCAAUGCUGGUGUCUCCAUGUACCCAAACUCUGGGAUUUGAUGUGGCCAGUCAGGCUUUGGGCAGCUGGGAACAAAUUCCAUCCUGGAAUUGUGGAAUCCAAAUUGUGGUGGGAAUGAGAAUCAAAGGCAGGAGGGGACUGGGAGAGGGAGAGCAGCGACCCCCCCGUGCCCCACGGAGCACUUUGGGACCCCCAGGGCUGGGAAAAGAUCCGGAGCUGUGGGAGAAGCACCCAGAGUCACCGUGGGAAUGUGUCGGGCUCUUUUCCAGUGUUCCUGGCGAGUUUUGGCACCCUCUCGGCCAUCCGCUAUUUCCGAAGGCAGGUCAGGGAAGGGCACCCCCGGACUUAACCCCUGCCGCGCCGCAGCCGCUGCCCGAGGCCGCCGGGCAGGGGCCGGGACUUUGUUCUGGACGCUGGGACAAGGCUGGAGCCAGCAGCGAGAACUUCUCCGGCCCCAUCCCCGCCGGGCCAGGCAGCGGGAGCCUGCCGGGAACGGGAACUGACGGUAGGACAGCACAGGACAGCACAGGACAGGGAAUGGCCCCGCUCCCUCCGCCCUGCUGCGGGCACCUGCUGACGCUCGGAGGAAGCGGGGAAGAGCUUCAUCCCGACAAAAGAGCCGGGAUCUCUGAGAAGGAGGAAAAGACGGCUUUGGGAAGGGCUGGGCUGCGGGGGGAUGGAGGGGCCGCUCCCUCGGCACAGCCCGGAGCUCCCAGAGCCGGUUUGAUCCCAGAUCCAGCCCCAGCACGGCUCAUCCUCUUGCAUUGCGCUCCAACGAGUCCCAGCGCGGUGCAGCAGCGCGGGGAUAAGGUUUCUGUCGCACGUGGCAUGCAGGAGCCUCCAUCAGCACUCCAGGGCAUUGCUGAGGAGGAAUUCCCUUCCCUCACGGGCUGGUACCAGCAGCAGUGCGGGACUGAGACCACGGAGGCUCUGCGGUGUGGGAUCGGCAGGAUCGCUGUGCUGUCCCUGAGAGCACGAACAGAGGUUUCUGUCCUUGUGCUCAGACUGCCAUCAGGCUUUGGCGUGUGCAGGGGUGGGCUGGAGGCCCUGCAUUGCUGCUGGCAGGGGGGCACAGCGAGAUGUGGGACUGGGAGUUAGAGCUGGAUGGGCUCUGCGUGGGCUGGAGCAGCUGAACACCCACCGAGAGGGGUUCUGCCGAGGAGGAGAACACAGGGAAUGUGCUGGAAGCUUCUAAUAAAGUUCUGUCUCAUUUAC
rnacentral:lncRNA from 1 species